AUUGAACGCUGGCGGCAUGCCUUACACAUGCAAGUCGAACGGCAGCACGGGAGCAAUCCUGGUGGCGAGUGGCGAACGGGUGAGUAAAGCAUCGGAACGUGCCCAGUCGUGGGGGAUAACGUAGCGAAAGCUACGCUAAUACCGCAUACGAUCUGUGGAUGAAAGCGGGGGACCGGAAGGCCUCGCGCGAUUGGAGCGGCCGAUGUCAGAUUAGGUAGUUGGUGAGGUAAAGGCUCACCAAGCCGACGAUCUGUAGCUGGUCUGAGAGGACGACCAGCCACACUGGGACUGAGACACGGCCCAGACUCCUACGGGAGGCAGCAGUGGGGAAUUUUGGACAAUGGGCGCAAGCCUGAUCCAGCAAUGCCGCGUGCAGGAUGAAGGCCUUCGGGUUGUAAACUGCUUUUGUACGGAGCGAAACGGCUUCCACUAAUACUGGGGGCUAAUGACGGUACCGUAAGAAUAAGCACCGGCUAACUACGUGCCAGCAGCCGCAGUAA
rnacentral:rRNA from 1 species